AAGCUUUCGCAGUGGCAGUAUUGUAGCCAAUGAGGUUUAUCCGAGGCACGAUUAUUGCUAAUUGGAAUCCUCAGGUAAAGUGCUUUGCCCUCUUACACAGGUGAAGUAAGCUUUGAGAAAGCCAGAGCA
rnacentral:snRNA from 1 species